CGAACUUUGAUGACUAGAAAAUGACCAUUUGGAGUUUCGCCUCUGGUCAUACCAUGCGAUGUCUGAGGUGUUAUGUGUGAUCGUGUUAAACGCCAAAUUAUUAUAAGUUGAUACAAUGGCAAUAUUCUGCUCUAUCUACAAACCAAGACUAAUAAAUUAUACAUGACAGAAUGUUACUCUCGUAAAUUGAUCGAAUUACAUAGCUAUAUCUAAGAAUUUGUAGAAAAAUAUGUUCUUCCAAAUAUGGGUGUUAACGAGAUCGAAUACAGAGCAUCUGACAAAUGAACAAGUUGGAGGACCUCGACAUAAACAUCAAACUACAAGGAGCUAAAUACUGUUAUUGAAAUAACAAUCAUCAUAUUAUUGCAUUUGCUUCAUACUAAAUGACAAGUUAACAUCACAAGGAGACCAUGAUACUAACCGUCAGAAUUCAUAUUUGGAUUAGAUGUAUAAGCAACAGAGCCAGGUUAACAGAAGAACCUGAAAAUUAUCAUAAUAAAAGAAGCUUACCCACAAGUUAGCCGAAUAAUGAUCAUGUAAUGGUUUUUCAUGAAGCAUGACCUGUCC
rnacentral:lncRNA from 1 species